UUUCCGUAGGUGAACCUGCGGAAGGAUCAUUAUUGUAUAACCGAGGGGCGGGGGCUGUCGCUGACCCGAAAGGUCGUGCACGCCCGAGUGCCCUCACACACAUCCAUCUCACCCCUAUGUGCACCACCGCGUGGGUCCCCCUUUGGCUUGUUCGGAGGGGGGCUUACGUUUUCACACAAACUUUGUAUGCAGUGUAGAAUGUAUUUUUUGUUUUUGCGAUCACGCAAUCAAUACAACUUUCAACAACGGAUCUCUUGGCUCUC
rnacentral:misc_RNA from 1 species